UUUUUCACAAUGGGCGAAAGCCUGAUGGAGCGACGCCGCGUGGGGGAUGAAGGGCUUCGGCCUGUAAACCCCUGUCAUUUGCGAACAAGGCUCCGUGCCUAAUACGUGCGGAGUUGAUAGUAGCGAAAGAGGAAGGGACGGCGAACUCUGUGCCAGCAGCCGCGGUAAUACAGAGGGCCCGAGCGUUGUUCGGAUUCACUGGGCGUAAAGGGUGCGCAGGUGGCCUGUUAAGUCGGAUGUGAAAUCUCCGGGCUCAACCCGGAAAGUGCAUCCGAAACUGGCGGGCUGGAGGAUGGGAGGGGGGACUGGAAUUCUCGGUGUAGCAGUGAAAUGCGUAGAUAUCGAGAGGAACACCAGUGGCGAAGGCGGGUCCCUGGACCAUUCCUGACACUGAGGCACGAAAGCUAGGGGAGCAAAC
rnacentral:rRNA from 1 species